rnacentral:rRNA from 1 species
GGUUAAGCGACUAAGCGUACACGGUGGAUGCCCUGGCAGUCAGAGGCGAUGAAGGACGUGCUAAUCUGCGAUAAGCGUCGGUAAGGUGAUAUGAACCGUUAUAACCGGCGAUUUCCGAAUGGGGAAACCCAGUGUGAUUCGUCACACUAUCAUUAACUGAAUCCAUAGGUUAAUGAGGCGAACCGGGGGAACUGAAACAUCUAAGUACCCCGAGGAAAAGAAAUCAACCGAGAUUCCCCCAGUAGCGGCGAGCGAACGGGGAGCAGCCCAGAGCCUGAAUCAGUGUGUGUGUUAGUGGAAGCGUCUGGAAAGGCGCGCGAUACAGGGUGACAGCCCCGUACACAAAAAUGCACAUACUGUGAGCUCGAUGAGUAGGGCGGGACACGUGGUAUCCUGUCUGAAUAUGGGGGGACCAUCCUCCAAGGCUAAAUACUCCUGACUGACCGAUAGUGAACCAGUACCGUGAGGGAAAGGCGAAAAGAACCCCGGCGAGGGGAGUGAAAAAGAACCUGAAACCGUGUACGUACAAGCAGUGGGAGCCUUGAUUUAUCAGGGUGACUGCGUACCUUUUGUAUAAUGGGUCAGCGACUUAUAUUCUGUAGCAAGGUUAACCGAAUAGGGGAGCCGAAGGGAAACCGAGUCUUAACUGGGCGUUAAGUUGCAGGGUAUAGACCCGAAACCCGGUGAUCUAGCCAUGGGCAGGUUGAAGGUUGGGUAACACUAACUGGAGGACCGAACCGACUAAUGUUGAAAAAUUAGCGGAUGACUUGUGGCUGGGGGUGAAAGGCCAAUCAAACCGGGAGAUAGCUGGUUCUCCCCGAAAGCUAUUUAGGUAGCGCCUCGUGAAUUCAUCUCCGGGGGUAGAGCACUGUUUCGGCAAGGGGGUCAUCCCGACUUACCAACCCGAUGCAAACUGCGAAUACCGGAGAAUGUUAUCACGGGAGACACACGGCGGGUGCUAACGUCCGUCGUGAAGAGGGAAACAACCCAGACCGCCAGCUAAGGUCCCAAAGUCAUGGUUAAGUGGGAAACGAUGUGGGAAGGCCCAGACAGCCAGGAUGUUGGCUUAGAAGCAGCCAUCAUUUAAAGAAAGCGUAAUAGCUCACUGGUCGAGUCGGCCUGCGCGGAAGAUGUAACGGGGCUAAACCAUGCACCGAAGCUGCGGCAGCGACACUAUGUGUUGUUGGGUAGGGGAGCGUUCUGUAAGCCUGCGAAGGUGUGCUGUGAGGCAUGCUGGAGGUAUCAGAAGUGCGAAUGCUGACAUAAGUAACGAUAAAGCGGGUGAAAAGCCCGCUCGCCGGAAGACCAAGGGUUCCUGUCCAACGUUAAUCGGGGCAGGGUGAGUCGACCCCUAAGGCGAGGCCGAAAGGCGUAGUCGAUGGGAAACAGGUUAAUAUUCCUGUACUUGGUGUUACUGCGAAGGGGGGACGGAGAAGGCUAUGUUGGCCGGGCGACGGUUGUCCCGGUUUAAGCGUGUAGGCUGGUUUUCCAGGCAAAUCCGGAAAAUCAAGGCUGAGGCGUGAUGACGAGGCACUACGGUGCUGAAGCAACAAAUGCCCUGCUUCCAGGAAAAGCCUCUAAGCAUCAGGUAACAUCAAAUCGUACCCCAAACCGACACAGGUGGUCAGGUAGAGAAUACCAAGGCGCUUGAGAGAACUCGGGUGAAGGAACUAGGCAAAAUGGUGCCGUAACUUCGGGAGAAGGCACGCUGAUAUGUAGGUGAAGCGACUUGCUCGUGGAGCUGAAAUCAGUCGAAGAUACCAGCUGGCUGCAACUGUUUAUUAAAAACACAGCACUGUGCAAACACGAAAGUGGACGUAUACGGUGUGACGCCUGCCCGGUGCCGGAAGGUUAAUUGAUGGGGUCAGCCGCAAGGCGAAGCUCUUGAUCGAAGCCCCGGUAAACGGCGGCCGUAACUAUAACGGUCCUAAGGUAGCGAAAUUCCUUGUCGGGUAAGUUCCGACCUGCACGAAUGGCGUAAUGAUGGCCAGGCUGUCUCCACCCGAGACUCAGUGAAAUUGAACUCGCUGUGAAGAUGCAGUGUACCCGCGGCAAGACGGAAAGACCCCGUGAACCUUUACUAUAGCUUGACACUGAACAUUGAGCCUUGAUGUGUAGGAUAGGUGGGAGGCUUUGAAGCGUGGACGCCAGUCUGCGUGGAGCCGACCUUGAAAUACCACCCUUUAAUGUUUGAUGUUCUAACGUGGACCCGUUAUCCGGGUUGCGGACAGUGUCUGGUGGGUAGUUUGACUGGGGCGGUCUCCUCCUAAAGAGUAACGGAGGAGCACGAAGGUUGGCUAAUCCUGGUCGGACAUCAGGAGGUUAGUGCAAUGGCAUAAGCCAGCUUGACUGCGAGCGUGACGGCGCGAGCAGGUGCGAAAGCAGGUCAUAGUGAUCCGGUGGUUCUGAAUGGAAGGGCCAUCGCUCAACGGAUAAAAGGUACUCCGGGGAUAACAGGCUGAUACCGCCCAAGAGUUCAUAUCGACGGCGGUGUUUGGCACCUCGAUGUCGGCUCAUCACAUCCUGGGGCUGAAGUAGGUCCCAAGGGUAUGGCUGUUCGCCAUUUAAAGUGGUACGCGAGCUGGGUUUAGAACGUCGUGAGACAGUUCGGUCCCUAUCUGCCGUGGGCGCUGGAGAACUGAGGGGGGCUGCUCCUAGUACGAGAGGACCGGAGUGGACGCAUCACUGGUGUUCGGGUUGUCAUGCCAAUGGCACUGCCCGGUAGCUAAAUGCGGAAGAGAUAAGUGCUGAAAGCAUCUAAGCACGAAACUUGCCCCGAGAUGAGUUCUCCCUGACUCCUUGAGAGUCCUGAAGGAACGUUGAAGACGACGACGUUGAUAGGCCGGGUGUGUAAGCGCAGCGAUGCGUUGAGCUAACCGGUACUAAUGAACCGUGAGGCUUAACCUU